UCUCGGCAACGGAUAUCUCGGCUCUCGCAUCGAUGAAGAACGCAGCGAAGUGUGAUACCUGGUGUGAAUUGCAGAAUCCCGCGAACCAUCGAGUCUUUGAACGCAAGUUGCGCCCGAGGCCAUCCGGCCGAGGGCACGCCUGCCUGGGCGUCACGCCAAAAGACGCU
rnacentral:rRNA from 1 species